UUCCGGUUGAUCCCGCCGGANGCUACCGCUAUUGGAGUUCGAUUAAGCCAUGCGAGUCGAGAGUCUUAGGGACUCGGCGUACCGCUCAGUAACACGUGGGUAACCUGCCCUAUGCUGGGGAAUAACCUCGGGAAACCGAGAAUAAUGCCCCAUAGUCCACAAUGCCUGGAACGGUUUGUGGAUUAAAGCUCCGGCGGCAUAGGAUGGGCCUGCGGCGUAUCAGGUCGUAGGGGGUGUAACGUACCCUCUAGCCAUCGACGCGUACGGGUGUUGGGAGACAUAGCCCGGAGAUGGAUUCUGAGACACGAAUCCAGACCCUACGGGGUGCAGCAGGCGCGAAAACUUGGCAAUGCGAGAAAUCGUGACCAGGGAACUCCAAGUGGCUGGGGUAAGACCCAGUCUUUUCUUGACUCUUCAAAGGUCUUGGAAUAAGGGGUGGGUAAGGACGGUGCCAGCCGCCGCGGUAAUACCGGCGCCUCAAGUGGUAGUCGAUUUUAUUGGGCCUAAAACGUCCGUAGCCUGUUUGGUACAUUCGUGGGUAAAUCAACCAGCUCAACUGAUUGA
rnacentral:rRNA from 1 species